CUCUUCUUGAAAGCUCUUGCAUUUGGAUGAGCCUGCGUCGGAUUAGCUAGUUGGUGAGGUAAGAGCUCACCAAGGCGACGAUCCGUAGCUGGUCUGAGAGGAUGAUCAGCCACACUGGGACUGAGACACGGACCAGACUCCUACGGGAGGCAGCAGUGAGGAAUAUUGGACAAUGGGCGAGAGUGAUCCAGCCAUGCCGCGUGCAGGAAGACUGCCCUAUGGUUGUAAACUGCUUUUAUAUGGGAAGAAACACUCUCACGUGUGAGAGCUUGACGGUACCAUAAGAAUAAGGACCGGCUAACUCCGUGCCAGCAGCCGCGGUAAUACGGAGGGUCCGAGCGUUAUCCGGAAUCAUUGGGUUUAAAGGGUCCGUAGCGGGCAGCUAAGUCAGUGGUGAAAGUCUGUGGCUCAACCAUAGAAUUGCCAUUGAUACUGGUUGUCUUGAAUUAUUGUGAAGUGGUUAGAAUAAGUAGUGUAGCGGUGAAAUGCAUAGAUAUUACAUAGAACACCGAUCGCGAA
rnacentral:rRNA from 1 species